GUUGUGGCUCAGCAGUAGAGCGCUUGCCUAGCAUGUAUGAGACACUGAGUUCAACCCUCAGCACAACA
rnacentral:tRNA from 1 species